GGGGGUGACUGGUUUCGACUUCGUCCGUUGCGACAGGGGAAGCGAGCCGAGGAAGCCAACGUCGUCUCGAAAAUCGGUCGUUGGAAACCAAUAAGCGCCAAGCAGAAUCGCGCUCAGUUCGCCCUCGCCGCCUGAGGCGGGUAGCGAACUUGUCGGCCUGGGAACGCCUUCGUCCCAGCUAGCCGGCAUCAGCUAGAAGGCUGGCCAACCGGCCCCGGUCGCGGGGGCCGCGCGGCGAGAUAAAUCAGCGACUGGGCCCGUCUCACCGACUCGCUCGUGUGAUCGGUGGGGCCGAGUAAGGACACAGCGAGCUGCGCUCGGAGAAGCCCUGACAAGACGCCGAAGGACCCGGGUUCGAUUCCCGGCACCUCCAC
rnacentral:tmRNA from 1 species